UACGGGGGGGGGCAAGCGUUGUUCGGAAUUACUGGGCGUAAAGGGCUCGUAGGCGGCCAACUAAGUCGGAUGUGAAAUCCCCAGGCUUAACUUGGGAACUGCAUCCGAUACUGGAUGGCUUGAAUCCGGGAGAGGGAUGCGGAAUUCCAGGUGUAGCGGUGAAAUGCGUAGAUAUCUGGAGGAACACCGGUGGCGAAGGCGGCAUCCUGGACCGGCAUUGACGCUGAGGAGCGAAAGCCAGGGGAGCAAACGGG
rnacentral:rRNA from 1 species